UCGGCGGCCCCCCUCAGCCGCGCCCGAGCGGGCGGCGGCCGGGCGCUGGGGGCACGUCCCGGCCCGCGGCCGCCCUCCCUCGCCCUCGCCCGCCCGGGAACCCGGCAGCGGCGGGAGCCGGGUCGGAGCCGGCCAGGGCAUGCGCACUACGGCCUCCCUCCCUGUGAAGUUCAGUGCUCCCUCCUGACCAGUGCCAGGAUAACCUCCUGUGGCCAACAUCCCACCCGCCACCCCAGGAAGCUUCUGAGGCAUCAGCUACUGCUCUGACCAGGUGGUCAGAGGGAUUUCUGCGAACCACUACAUUUUGAGGUCAGGGAUGUCAACUGCGUGAGGAAAACUGAAUUUUAAAAAUCCAUCUACAUUUCCUUAAAUAAUUUUGGGGGGAAAUUAAGCCACAUGGCAGAGGGAAGUCAGAUGUAUAGAUAAAACAGCCAUGGAAACAACACGUCGGCCUGGUCUCCCAGAUGUCCGCAGCUCUAUUAGGAGGCAGGGCUGAGUCCUGCUCAUAGGAUCUGAAAGGGCACUUUCUACUGCAUCGACAGGACCCACAGGAGCUCUGCCCCUCCCCUCCUAGCUUGCUGCCUCUCCGCCCUGGGGGCCCCUGCCUUGCUGCCAUCAUGCUGUUCACCCCAACUCAACUGAGUCAGACGCCAAGGAACACUAGGACUCCCCUCAACUCGUGCGUGCACUGUCGGCUCCGCAAAGCCCUGUACUUCCCUCUUCUGCUGCCGUCUCCCACCACCCUGGCCCUUCUCUGUGUGGUCUGGCAUAAGUAAAAUUCCCCGGACAGUCA